UACAGAGGGGGCAAGCGUUGUUCGGAAUUACUGGGCGUAAAGGGCGUGCAGGCGGUUUGUUAAGUGCAGGGUGAAAGCUCCCGGCUCAACUGGGAGAGGUCCUUGCAUACUGGCAAACUCGAGGGAGGCAGAGGAAAGUGGAAUUCCCGGUGUAGUGGUGAUAUGCGUAGAUAUCGGGGAGGAACACCUGUGGCGAAGGCGGCUUUCUGGGCCUUACCUGACGCUGAGACG
rnacentral:rRNA from 1 species